rnacentral:rRNA from 1 species
GAUGAACGCUGGCGGCGUGCUUAACACAUGCAAGUCGAACGGUGAAGCAGGAGCUUGCUCCUGUGGAUCAGUGGCGAACGGGUGAGUAACACGUGAGCAAUCUGCCCUGGACUCUGGGAUAAGCGUUUGAAACGACGUCUAAUACCGGAUACGAGGCGUGGGGGCAUCCCCAACGCCUGGAAAGAACUUCGGUCCAGGAUGAGCUCGCGGCCUAUCAGGUAGUUGGUGAGGUAACGGCUCACCAAGCCUACGACGGGUAGCCGGCCUGGGAGGGUGACGGGCCAGACUGGGACGGAGACACGGCCCAGACUCCUACGGGAGGCAGCAGUGGGGAAUAUUGCACAAUGGGCGCAGGCCUGAUGCAGCAACGCCGCGUGAGGGACGACGGCCUUCGGGUUGUAAACCUCUUUUAGCAGGGAAGAAGCGAAAGUGACGGUACCUGCAGAAAAAGCACCGGCUAACUACGUGCCAGCCGCCGCGGUAAGAC